CGCCGGAAUCGGAUGAUCUAUGCCAUGCGAGUCAUUGUAGUAAUACAAGGCAGACGGCUCAGUAACGCGUAGUCAACCUAACCUAUGGACGGGAAUAACCUCGGGAAACUGAGUAUAAUGCCCGAUAGAACAUUAUGCCUGGAAUGGUUUAUGUUCCAAAUGAUUUAUCGCCGUAGGAUGGGACUGCGGCCUAUCAGUUUGUUGGUGAGGUAAUGGCCCACCAAGACUAUUACAGGUACGGGCUCUGAGAGGAGUGGCCCGGAGAUGGGUACUGAGACACGGACCCAGGCCCUAUGGGGCGCAGCAGGCGAGAAAACUUUGCAAUGUGCGAAAGCACGACAAGGUUAAUCCGAGUGGUUUCUGCUAAAGGAACCUUUUGUCAGUCCUAGAAACACUGAUGAAUAAGGGGUGGGCAAGUUCUGGUGUCAGCCGCCGCGGUAAAACCAGCACCUCAAGUGGUCAGGAUGAUUAUUGGGCCUAAAGCAUCCGUAGCCGGCUCCGUAAGUUUUCGGUUAAAUCUGUACGCUUAACGUACAGGCUGCCGGGAAUACUGCAGAGCUAGGGAGUGGGAGAGGUAGACGGUACUCGGUAGGAAGGGGUAAAAUCCUUUGAUCUAUUGAUGACCACCUGUGGCGAACGCGGUCUACCAGAACACGUCCGACGGUGAGGGAUGAAAGCUGGGGGAGCAAACCGGAUUAGAUACCCGGGUAGUCCCAGCUGUAAACCAUGCAAACUCAGUGAUGCAUUGGCUUGUGGCCAAUGCAGUGCUGCAGGGAAGCCGUUAAGUUUGCCGCCUGGGAAGUACGUACGCAAGUAUGAAACUCAAAUGAAUUGACGGAAU
rnacentral:rRNA from 1 species